rnacentral:rRNA from 1 species
UACGUAGGUGGCAAGCGUUGUCCGGAUUUACUGGGCGUAAAGAGCGCGCAGGCGGUCGUUCAAGUCGCGUGUGAAAGCCCCCGGCUCAACUGGGGAGAGUCACGCGAUACUGAUCGACUCGAAGGCAGGAGAGGGAAGUGGAAUUCCCGGUGUAGUGGUGAAAUGCGUAGAUAUCGGGAGGAACACCAGUGGCGAAGGCGACUUCCUGGCCUGUUCUUGACGCUGAGGCGCGAAAGCUAGGGGAGCAAACGGG